rnacentral:pre_miRNA from 1 species
UUUUUUGACGAAAAUUGCUCCCAAUGUGUAGACGCCUUAAAAGCCUCUACACAUUGGGAGCAAUUUUUGUCAAAAA